ensembl:lncRNA
CGGGGACGCCCGGGUGCCGAGGCCGCCGAGCCCCCGAGCCAGCCGCGAGGGUGCCUCCUCGAAGUUCCGGGGCUGCCUGGCGGCGGCUCGCUCUCCUACACGCAGCCCCCGCGCGCUGCCCAGGCUGAGGCUGCGAGAGAAAGCAAGAGUGGGCCGUGGGAGGGGAGCUGAUGUUCUGGUGGAUGGGUUUUGAUGAGGAGAUAAGGGCAGCUUCCCAUUUUGGCAGUGGAGGAAUGUUCACCAUAUUUGGAUUUGCUUCACUUCUUGGACACAGAUUCCCAAAGCUCAUGUGAACGUUGGUGAUGGUUCAGAGAGAAAAUUGCAGGCCUCACCCACAGCCUUGACAGCGUAGUUUCUUGGAAUCAAGAGUCAACACUGGGCUAUUUCCAAAGAUUAAAUCUUGAAAGCUCGGUGGGAGGCUGUAGCAGGAGGGCAGAGAUGUCCACACACUCAGAUAUGAAAAAUGGUCUUCCACUAGGAAGUCUUCCUCUUCAGCUAAGGCCCUGGAAGUAGUGAAGAGAAAGGGGCCCUUUCUGACCAUGCUCACAGGGAUGGAUUAAACAGGCCCUAUUUUUGCAAGAAAUGGAGCUGCACAGGGUGGCCAGCUCAUCAUCAGCUGCUCAUGUCACCCUGUUGGGGGCUGUCACCUGUAUGUGGGUCAGGCCCAGCCCAGGGCACGCAGAGUGGAAGCUGCAAUGCUGCCCUCCUUCACUCGCCAAGCAGUAUGUAUUGGGUGUCACCAUGGCCACCUAGACUAUCUGACUCCUCCUUCUAAUCUGCACCAAGGUGCCUUGUAUGGGCAAUGCCAGUACUGACUGUCCCACCCUGUUCCCCAUGCCUGUCCAGAGUUACUGUCCUGACUUUGGGUGAAUUAACAAUGCUCAUGAACUAAUUAUGUUUAAUGUAAAAGAUGAGCUAUUUUAUCUCAAUUUUAGAUAAUUUUAUAGAUGAACAUAAAAAUAUUACCAUUUAUGUGAAGUAUGCAUGUAUAUAUAAAAGUGUGUGUAUAUAUAGAUAUAUAGAUAGUUGGAUAUACAUUUUUAUGUAUCAGAAGUUAGGACAACUUUAAAAAAUAAAAGAAGUCAAGAUGAUUUAAAUUUGGUAACUUUAAAAUAAAAAAAGCUGUUCUGCAGUUUGGAAUCAGUUUUAUAUAUGGAUUUCUGGGCUUCACAGAAAUAUGUACUAUUUGAUUCCAUUUCAGCAGAUAGCCAUGAAGUGCCAGUCGCUGUACUAAACAAUAUGUAUAGAGUAAAGAAAAAUGAUGCAAACACCCUGUGUCUACCUAGUAAUCUAGUAAGGCAGGCAAAUGAUAAGGUCCCAAAUAGAUUUGCAGCUGUAAAUUAUGAUGAGAACUAUGAGAGAAAUGCUAAGAUGGAGAAUAACAAAGCAGAUCUAUUUCAGAUUAUGUGACUGGUAAAAUCCUCAAGUGAAACCCGAGGAGUGAGUUGGAAGGAGUUUAUGAAGUGAGUCCAUUCUGCCAUUUAAAGUAUAGAAGCAUUUGAGUUCAGAAUAAAAUUUGAUGUGUUUAAGAGAAAGUAUAAAAUAAAGCCGAUAACAAAGAAAAGAGAGGCCAGUGGCCAAAUCCAUAGUGUUUUAGUUUGUAAACUGCAAGUAACUAAUGAUGUUACAUCUGUGUAUUUGCCAUUUGCUUUUGCAAGUGUCCUUUCUUCUUUCCUCCCUCAUCCUCAUCCAUCUUUGUCUCUUCCUUUAAAUCCUGGCUCAACGCUCAGUCUUUUCUAGGAAUUUUUCUAGUUGGAACACCCCUUCAGCCAUGGUUCUUCAUUUGCUGAGUAUGUGUGUACUAUGUUUAUUUUCCUAUGUGUUUUGUUGAUAACAUCAGCCUUCACUCUCAUAUGUGUGAGUUGAGUAUCCAUGGAAUUGUAAAUGCAGGGGAUCACAAGGGCAGGAAUUACAUUUCCUUCUCUGGUCUGGCUAAGUCUAGUUGAGUCUCACUGUAUGGUGGCCAACCUCUCAAUAAAUGCUGGUACCUGGGUGAUCUUGUUUGACUUGACGUUUUUUAAAGGUUUAAAGAGGAAGAAAUACAUAUAUUAUAAAAACCUUUCAUUGUUAAGCAGAUGGGAACACCCAGUGCACCAUCCCGAAGGGAGUUCAGGAGACCUUCGCACUGCAGUGUGAUACCAUGGAGCUUGAAGGGCAGCCGACAAACUCAAAGAAUAAAUAUACAUCUUUUAAAAAUUAAAGAUUGGUUGUAGUUUUAGCCUACCCACACAUACCAGCUGCUGAUAGGAGUUUAUCCAUAGUUCUUCAGUCUUUCUUUCCAAAGUCAGCACUUGCUGUGUGCCAGAACCUGCUCUGGGUGCUGGGGAUAGAGCGGUGAACAAAACUUCUCUCAUGGAACUAGUUUUCCUGGAGGGGCGAGAGAAUAAGUUGUUACUGAGUGUGGCUGAUAGCAGUUAGUGCUGUCAGAAGAGGAAUCUUAGGGAAAGGUACAGGGGUUGGGAGAAAUACAGUAGUACCUCAGUACUUAUUUAUUCUAGGAAUGCAAUGAGCACCAAAAAUGACAAGAACCAAGCACAUUGUUUUGGCUGGAAAGGGUAAUGAGUCACAUGGCAUAUGACACUGACAAGUUCUAGCUUGCAAGGCAAGUAUCAAUCAAAACUAGGACAGAAAGGGGCCAGGGAUUUAGCUCAGUGGCUCUGGUGCCUCCCUUGCAAGUGUAAGGUCCCAAGUUCGAUCUCUGGUACAAAAAAACCCCAAACAAACUAGGACAGAAGUUUUGUGUCAAAAUGCGUCCAGUACCAAAUUCCAUGAGUCUUAAAGCAAUCAUUUAUAAACAUUGCCAAGAAAGGUGUCUACUGAGUAGACAUUUGGGCAUACAUGAAGCAAGCGAGCAGGCAGAUAUCUGUAAGCACAGGGAGCAGCAAGUCAGGCUAAGAAGAAAGCAUGCUUGGUAUGUUCAAGGAUUAGCAAAGAGACACACAUGGCUGGAACAGGAUGGGUGACCAAGAAAAUGCCAAGAAUGAGGGCAGAGAAGUAGCCAGGGCUCAGAUUGUGUAGGAUCUUGAAAGGUAUACUAUGGACUUGAGCUUUCACUCUGACUGAGAUUGUUUUCAGUUAGGGGUCCUCUGGCUGACCUAUAAACUGUUAACUAUUGUCACAGGGUGAAUUAAAUGGAAGGAAUUGGUUAAAUGGGUAACAAGAAUCACAGGAAGCUGCUCCCAUCCCUAACUUCUGGGGAGCCAGAAAAAUUGAAGAUGGUACAAGCGGAAGCUUCUGGGGAGCCCCUGAGGACCUGUGGAGACACUUGCUGUCCAGUUGCUUCUGGUCCCUGAGGUGCUGAUGUGGAGUUAAUGGUAGGAGGCCUGAGAAAGCUGGGUGCUAGAACCAUGUGAUGUACCUCGAGGGGAAGCAUCCCUUCCUGAGGGUGGCCUAACAAAUACCACAGAACUAGAUGGUUGAAAACAACAGAAAUCCACUGUCUUAUAGGUGUGGAGGUUAAAAAUCUCAAAUUAGGUGAUUUUUUUUUUUUUUUUUUUUUUUUUCCUGAGGGAUAGAAGGGAGACUGUCUGGGCCUUCUAGCUUCUAGUAGCCUCCACCAUUGAUAUGUAGGUAGGGUUCUCUCCACUUCUCCCAUGGAUGUGUCUGCCUUCAUGUGCAAAUUUACCUUGUUGAAAGGACAACAGCCGGAUUAGGAUGCAGCCUAAUGACUUCCUCUUAAUUAGCUGCAAAGCCCCUAUUCCCAAAUAAGGUUAAAUCCACAGAUAUUGGCAAUUAGGACGUCAGCAUCAUCCAUAACACAAGACAAGAGGUUAGAAAGGAACACAUGCUAAGGUAAGGGGAAAAAGCAGGUCACUUCUCUCUUCUUUUUGCCUUCUAGCUUUUUUAUACUAUUUUCUUAAGCUAGGCAUUUCUUUCUUAGUACUGCUUUAGCUAUAUCUCACAGAUUUUGAAAUGUUUUCUCUUCAUUUUCAUUCAGUUGACAUACUUUCUAACUCCCUCUCGAGUUCUUCUUUGACCCAUAGGUUAUUGAGAGCUCUUACUUAGCUUCCAAAUAACUGGGGACUUUUUCUGAACACUUUCUGUCAUUGACUCUAACCCAAUUCCAUUGUAAUUAGGGUGUUGUCUUAGUAUCAACAGAGCUCUGGAGACUGGAGAACCUACCUAAGAUGUGGGGCUGGACUUCCAAAAGAGGCUAUCUUGGUAUUGGCAGGUGACAGUGCCUGCACCUGUAGCCAGCCACAGUACUAUCAGUUUUGAAUACAUUUUCCUUCGAUGGAAUUGGAGGGUGAGCUAAUGGGACCAGAGUGUGUGCAGAAAUAUCACCAAAUCGCAAAAUAAUGGAAAACAGUCUACAUCACGAAUUACCCCAUAAACAGAAUGAUCACAGGCUACCUUAAUCAAGAUAGAGAAUUAAUCCUCAAAGAUACUAAGCUGUGGACAAUUUUGGCAAUUUGACAACCUAGCAAAACACGAAAUGGGCAAGAUAAGUAUAAAACAAAUCUAGUUAGAUCGAAUUAAAAUACAUGAUCAUUUAAACAUUGUCAAGUGAACAUUUAAAGUGUCACCUAGAAAUGUUCUGAAGAAAAUACUAUAUUAUAAAAGUCUUUAUUUUGUAGCUUAAAAUGUGGAUUUGCAAGUAUAUUUGGCUGUUUGGUCUGGAAGAGCACAUAUAUUUCUGAACAUGUGUUCUGACAAACUAAAACAAAAAAAAUUAGCCUUUAAAAUUUUGGACCAAAGAAAUUGUUAAAUUUAUGGCAACACAAUGUCUGAUUUCAUACAAUAUGAUAUAGUUUAAAAUUUAUUUGUAUGAUGUGGUUCAAGAUAAGAAAUUCUGCCUUAUUCUAAAAUUCAUGAAUUGCACAUAAUUCUUUAACUUUCAAAAUGUGUGGUUUACUCAUAAAGAAAUUCUUCAGUUAUUUUGUUGGAAAGAGGUCAAAAUUUUAUGUUCUGCCCAAGGGCAUGAAGUUCUGCAAACACUUUCAUUUAUUAAUGCUUGCAAACACCUGGGAAUUUUGUAGACAUUACAGAUAUUUUUAUGUGGAUAAAUUCAGAAUAAAUGUUGAAUAUAUGGGAAGGCUUUCUAACUUUAAAAUCUAUUUGUGUUUCACAAGACCAGAAAUUCAUUGAGAUUCAAGCUUUUGAUGUUUGGGUUGGUUUACCUUACAUUAUAUGUGGGUUUUUUUCCUAUUUAAAAUAUCAGAAAAAAAUAUAUAUUCAAACAUGACAUAGUUCUCAACGUACAUUUGGAUAGUUAUAAAUUAUCCUAUGUUAGGAUUCCAUAUCCUUUAAGAUGGAAUUUUUAUCUUCUUGUCAAAGGGAUGAAGAAUUACAUUGUGAGUUUUUCCUUUUGAGUAUAAACCAAAAAUAUAUUAAGCCAGACUUUAUUUUUCUUGUAUUUGUGUAAAAUUAUAAGCAUGUUAGGGAAAAUGGUACAAAAACAAGGUAUAUGUUACUCUUAAUACCAGAGCAAAGUUUCUCUACAGUUCUUUUGAUUUUUGUUUUGUUUUUGUUUUUUGGUACUGGGGAUCGAACUCGGGAUCUUUCUACAGUUCUUUUGAGAAAAUCGGUUUAGAGAUCUGAUUCCAUAACAAUUAGCAACUCUUCAAAAGUAUAUUGAUGCCUAUCAUCAUUCAUAAUGAAUGAUGAAAGAUUUUUAAUUUUAUAUUCUAAUUUUUAAAAAGAGCACUGUCAAAAGCGAUGAUUUGAGGAAAAAAAUAGAAAAAUAAUUCUGUCCUAAUUACCAUAUAUGCAUUAUUUAUUGCUUUUAAAAGAUCUCUUAAAAUGAUUAAUAAGCACCUGCAGAAUAAUUUUAUUUUCUUCUUGAAAAAAUAGCCAUCUGAACAUGAGGCCCAGCCCAAAGCCAGCGCUACAGCUGGAGACAUGACAUAGUUCUGAAACAGUCUUUAGUCACAACUGGGAGAAAAAGACCUUUCUAAAAUGUGCCAAUCUUGUGAGGAAUGGAUGUCAAUUUAGUGUCUCCUGGAAAGGGGGAGAAUGAGAUCAUAUUUCUGAAUUUUAGUGUUGCAUUCUGUAAGUUUGUACUCAUGCCUUUUCUCCCUUCUUUACAAUUGGGGUUUUCCACUUCAUUCUUUUGGGACAUAGUGAACUCUCAGUUUCUAUUGUGUUAUUCUACUUACAUGGCUGAUGGCUUCUUUUCUUUGUUCUUGUUUUUCAAUUUCUUCUAAGCACUUUCUCUCUUGAAUCUGUUUAAUCAAUUGUUUUUGUGAAACAAGUUUCUCCAGUGAAAAUCCUGCAGGAAGAACUGUACUUGAGGUUUUACUUUAUCCUAGAUAUAGUGAUGUGUUUUACAGCUAUGAUCUCACUUAAACAUUUGCAGCAACUACAAUGAAAUUUUAUAGAUAAGAAACAGAAACUCAGUGAGAUUAAAAAAACUUCUUAUGGUCAUGUAGCUAGUAAGUCACAGAGCUAUGUAUAAACACAAACAUGUUCAAAGACCAAACUCAAUCUGUUUACUAUGGUGUUUCCAAAGAGCUGGCCUAUGAUGAGUACUUAAUCCUAAACACAGAUGUCUUACUAUUGUUCUCAUGCUCUGAUUAUCAGUCUACUGCUAUAUCUUUCUUUUUUUGUCUCUUAUUAGUGUAUGUCUGUAAUACAUAAUAGUUACGUUCAUUGUGGAGAAUUGGUACAUACAUAUAACAUCUUGAUUGUUUUCAAUCCUUUUAUCUUCUUUUCCCAGAUGCCCCAUCUUCUUUCCUAUUUCCAAAAAAGACUGUCUUCUUGUUUCCUACCACCUUUCCUUUAUCUUAUUUAUUUAUAUUUUAGAUUUCUCAUACAAGAGAAACCAUGUGCUAUUUAACUUUCUGUGUCUUAUUUAAUUUCUUUUUUUUUAAUUCACUCAACAUUAUGGUCUCAACAUCCAUCCAUUUUCCUGCAAAUGACAUGAUUUCACUCUUCUUUAUGGUUAAUAUUCAUAUGUAUCUAUGAAAUACAUUCAUAUGUAUAUAUAUAUAAUUUUCUUUGUCCAUUCAUAUGUUGACAGGCAUCUGGCUGUUUCCAUGGCUUAGCUAUUAUGAAUCAUCAUGCUGUAAACAUGGGUAUGUGUGGGUGACUAAAAUCACUAUAGUAUAACAUUUCCAGUUCUUUUGGGAAUAUAUCCAGGGGAGGUAUAGCUGGGCCAGAUGAAAUUUCUAUUUUUUGCUUUUUGAGGAAUCUCAUACUUAUUUCUUUUCUUUUUUUUUUUUUUUGUUACCGGGGAUUGAACUCGGAUCCUUGUGCUUGUGGGGCAGGCGUCUCAUACUUGUUUCUGUGAUGGUAGUAGUUUACAUUCCCACCAGCAAUGUAGAAGUCUUUCUUUUCCUCACAUUCUCACCAACAUUUGUUGUUUUUGUGAUCUUGAUAAUUGCCAUUCUAACUGGAUUAAGAUGGAAUCCCAGGGUAAUUUCAAUUUGCAUUUCCCUGGUGGGUAAAGAUGAACAGUUUUUCAUGUACUUAAUUGGUCAUGUGUAUUUCUCCUUUUCAGAAAUGUCUGUUCAGUUCAUUUUGCCAUUUAUUACUUGAGUCAUUUAUUUUUGGGGGGUCAAGUUUUUUGAGUUCUUUAUAUAUUCUAAGUAUUAGUCCUCUAUCAGAAUAAUUGGCAACUUUUUUUCCCAAUUCUAUGGGCUAUCUUUACACUGCUGAUUGUUUCCUUUGCUGUGGAGAAGUUUUUAAUUUUCUAUAAUCUCUCUCUCUCUCUCUCUCUCUCUCUCUCUCUCUCUCUCUUUGUUUUUGGUAUUGGGGAUCAAACUCAGGACCUUGUACUUGUGAUGCAGGCUCGGUGCCACUGAGCUAAAUCCCCAGUCCUCUGUUGAUUCUUGAUAUUAGCUCCUCUGCUACUGAAGCUCGGUUCAGAAUGUUCUUGCCUGUGCCUUUGGCUUUAAGUAUUUUCUCCUAUAAUAUCUUCUGGGACUUUCAAAGCUUGCUUGUAUAUAUAGGUAUUUGGUCAAUUUUGAUUUGAUUAUUGUACAGGGUAAGAGAUAAGGAUGUAGUUUCAAUCUUUUGCAUUUGGGUAACCAGUUUUCCUAGCACGGUUUGCUGUAGGGGUUGUCUUUUCUCCAGUGUGUGGUUUAGCCCCUUUGUCAAAGGUCAGAUGGCUGUAGGUGCAUAGAUUUGUUUCUCUGACUGACUAUAUUUUCUGCAUUCAUUAUGUGCUUUGUAAUGAUACUACAAAAACUAAUGGGACUUUAAAACAAAACAUGUUCAUUUUCUCACAAUGUCAAUGAAUUAGAGAUACAGACUUCGGUUUGGAGACUCUCAAUUUGCUCUACAGGUGUUGAGUGGGCUUCAGUCUCAGCCAAGGUGAGAAUGGUGAAGGAUCCCCUCCUAAGCUCAUAUGGUUGUUGGCAGCACUCAGUUUCAUGCAGCUGUAGGACUGAAACAUUUUGUUUCUAGUUGGCUGCUAUCCAGAGAGAUCUUCAGUUGCUUGUUACAUGGCCCAUAACAUAGGCUGGCUCGCAACCUGACAGUUUGCUUCUUCAAAGCCAGCAAAGGAGACUUCUUUCAAGAUGCCCCUUACAGUCUUACAUGAUAUUGUCCUGUGUGUGCGAUCAUGUACAUCUCAUUCCCUUUGAUAUAUUCAAUUGACAAGUCACAGGUCCUGGCCACAAAUCAGCACCAGGAGUGCCAGGAGGUGGGCUUCUUGGGAGUACCCUAAUGUCUGCCUACUACAUCUUCCUGUAUUUCAAGGCUUCCUGUUUAACUAUUUCUGCCAUGCCUAUUCUUGUACCUCAUGUUUCUGUCUAGGCUGCUGAUCUCUCUUCCUUUUCCUGAUCUGUCAGUCUCCUCCUGACUUCACACUUUUCAUUGUCCUCCUUAGACUGUCUUUGUCAUUUUCAAUAAUAGACAAUAGUAGUUGUUUUUUUCAUCCCUUUCACAAUCUGACUUCUUUUUCUUUAAAAUUCAUUAAGUUUAUUGGUACAUAUUAGGUAUACAAUAUGAUGACAUUCAUCAUUGGGAAUUUGCACCUUUACAUGAUGUAUCUUGGUUCUUAUUUUUUCCCCAUUCCCCUGCCCUCCCUUCAACCCCUCCGCCCCUCCUUAUUUACAAAGACUUUGUUUCCAUUUUUUUUUCUUUUCUCAUAUUUUUUCAUUUCCCUUCUGGGAAACAAUGUGACUUCGUAAAAGAGGUGUGAACACCAACAUUCGCUUUUACAUUCCUUUCUCUGGGUUGUCAAUCCACCCCAAUCAGCCUUCUAACUCCAAUGUUCCACUGAAAUGGUUCCUGCUAAUCUCACCAAUGGUUGCCAUGUCCAAGUAUUAUAACCAAAUAAUACUUUUCAAUUCUCAUGUUAUUUAACCACUCAGCAACAUUCAAUAAAGUUGAACACUGUGGUCUUAAAAUAUUCUUUUCCUUUUUUUGCAUAUCAAGACACAUUCCACAUUCCUAUUCUUCUGAUUGCCUCUUCUCAAUCUUAGGUAGAUUCUCCUUCUCUAUGAAACUAUUAAGUGUUGUGAUGCCUGUCAAUUCUGCCCAGUUUCCUCUAUUACACUCAUUUACAGUGCACUCUGUCUAGGCAAUCCUUAUCUCCUCCUAUAUGACUUGCACUUCUAUCACUAUGUCAAAUAACUCCAAAUUUAAAUAUGUAGAUCUGCUGUCUCACAGAGCACCAGAAUCACAGUUUUUGGAUAUCUCUACUUUAAUAUUUCAUGAACAUUUCAAAUUCAAUAUUUUCAAGUUUAAAUGAAUAAUCUUCAUUACAUAGACCCUUGCUUUUGUUGUUCUAUUCCUCAGACAAAUAGCACUAUUAUUUAUUGGUGACCUGCUCAAGUCAGAAAUCUAUGAAUGAUCCUGAUCAUUGUUCUUCCUUAUUCUCUAUUUUUAUCAGUUAUCAAAUCCUAUUCUAUAUACCUUUUAACUAAUCUCUCUACUCCUUGUGUUCACUGAAAUCAUAUGAAUUUGUCACAUCACUGAAAACUCUUCCCCACCUGAACUAUUGUGUCAUUCCUAACCUGUCUUUUAGUGUAUGUACUUUUCCUUUUCUAAUCCAUCUUCUACAUUAUAACUGGAGCAAUCUGAAAAAUACAGACCUAAUCAGUUGCUUCCUUGCUUUAAGGAACUCUAAUACUAACAGUUCUUUAUUGUCAAAGGUGGAGGGGGUGAAGGGAGGGCUAGGAAUGGGGAAAAAAUAAGAACCAAGAUGCAUUAUAUAAAGGUACAAUUCCCAAUGAGAAAUGUAAUUGUGUUGUAUACCUACAAUGUACCAAUAAAAGAAUUUAAUACAAAAAAUAGUUCUUUAUUGUCCUUAUAACAUCAAAUUCCUUAGCAUAGCUGAUAGGGAAAGUCAGAUCCAUGAGGGCUGAGUCUAGUGUUUUGCUGUUUCUCUAAUGCCUCCUAGGUACAAUACCUAAUAUGUAGUUGGUGCUUCAUAAAUAUUGAAUGAAUUAAUUAUAACUAUAAGAGUCCAUGUAUUCUGUGCUCUGUUUAUGUCAGUUAGCUUUUUGCUAUGUAGCAAAUCAUCUCAAAAUUUAAUAGCUUAAAAUAAAAACUUAUUUGCCCAUAAUUGGCUAGGUCAGCACAUUUCUUGUCUGGGCUGUUUUGCUGGGUCUAUGGGAUUACCUAGGUGCCUUGCUGGAGAUGGUCUCUCUCAUAUUGUUAUUGGAGUCCUAGGUCAGAGGGCUGACUCUUGGAGGUCCCAAAAGACCGGAUUCAGCCAUUUGCUGUGACAAUCCAAUUAAGAGAGAUAAGUGGUGGUGAAGCAGGAAAAAAAAAAUUAAUUUUAGUGUGGCUACUCCAGGAAGGAACAGAGGUUUUAAGAGGUUCUAAGCCCAGUCUUGGGGUACUGACAAUGCCUAAAGAAUUUCAUAGAGGGCAGGGGACAAAACAGUUGCAUAAUUAAGCUGUUUUGUUCCAACUGUACUAUGGUUGAACAUUAUCUCAAGUCUGGUUCUGCUGGGUCCUGUGGGCUCGGGGGAAAUUGUUCUUUCUUGAGUGGAGCAAUCUGGUUGCAAUCAUGAGAUGUUUACUUCCUUUUGAUGGGUGAAGCAUGGAGUGAACAGUUUGAUUGGUCAUAGGAUGACCUUUUGGAGACCCUGGAAAGAGACCUUUGUCCAUCAUAAAGUCAUUGCCUACAGGGCUCCCUGAUUUUGGAACUUAAACUAAGGAACAGAAAUAACUCAAAGCAUAUAUCAGAGGAACAAAAUGGAGUCCUGGAACAAAACUGGGUUCCUUCUUCAGGGUUGAGCAAAGGACAGUUUCAAAGGAGCCCCUGAUACAAUAUAUCUGGCUAUUGCAGGCUGGUUGGUUUAACAGGGCCCAGGAGGGGCAGUAUAUUUCUGGUCCAGUUGGGCUGUCAUUCUCCAGUGUUAUGGCCUGUGUCUAGAUGUCCUCCCAAAGCCUCAUGUAGACAUAGGUGGGGCUUUUUCAGAGGUGGCUGGAUCUAGAAUGUGUGACCCUGAGAUUGAUUUAUGGUGCAACACUAGGAUCAAGGGUACUAGGAUUAAGGGUGUGAGUGCUUCUUACCCUAAGCAGCCUGGAUAAGAUGUAAGGGAGAGAAAGAGCCGUGGAUAUUCCUUACUUGCUUUGCUACCUUCUGCCUGCCACGAACUGUUUCUCCUCUGCAAUGCCCAUCUGCCAUGUGCCACCCUGCCUUGGAGCCAGCCAACUAUGGACUGAAACCUCUAUCAUCUGUGAGCCAAAUAAACCUUCCCCCUCUUUAACUUUUGGUGAUGAGUAUUUUGUCUCAGAAAUGAGAAAAGUAACUAAGACAUCCAGUAAGUUCAGGCUUAUUCACAAGUGGUGAUGUUAGGGUUCCAAAAUGCAAAAUGAGAGUAAAACCUUUUUGAGACAUUGUUAACACUGUAUCUGGUAUUUUCUUAUCGAUCAAAGCAAGUCACAUGGUCAAGGUACCCAAAAGUGUGAACAAAUUGAGAGCUUGUUUUAAGUCACUUUCUUUAUUGGGGACAAAAUACCUAACACUCACAAGGAGGAAAGGAUUAUUUUGGCUCACAGUUUGGAGAGGUUUCAGUCCAUGGUUGGCUGGCUCCAAGUUAAAAUGCCAUGGCACAGAAGCAUAGCAGAAGAGAAGCUGCUUGUAGCAUGGCAGCAGAGAAGCAGAGAACAAAGGAUGAGCUGGUGAGGGAGAUAUACCCUCCUGGGCCAUAUCACCAAUGACCCCCUCUUCCGACCUGACUCCACCUCCUAAAGUCAGGGAAGCUAUACCACCUCCUAAUCCAAUCACCUUCCAAAGGUCCUGCGUAUGAUCAUAUGAAAAAGACCAAAUCCAAAAUCUUCUCUGAAACUGAAGGCAAACUCUUAGCUGUGAGCCCCUGUAAUAUCAAAAGGAAGUUAAACACUGUGGACAUUCAAUAGCACAAGAUAAAUAUUCCCCUUCCAAAAGGUAGAAAUAGGAGGAAAAAAACCAGUGGAACCAAAGCAAGACCAAGACCAAAAUCCAGCAAGACAAACGCUAAAUCCCAUUGUUCCAUGUCUAGCACCUGGGGUAAUCUGUGAUGAGAUGUGAGUGCCAAAGGCCUUGCAAGACCCUAACUCUACAGCAUUGCUGGUAUUUGCAAUUCUUAUGGCUUCUUUCUUGGGCUGGCUUUGUUCUCUCCUUGCAGCUUUCCUCAUUCAGACAUUUAAUGUACCUGGCAUCUCCAACUUUCCAUGGCCUCUACUCCACUUUUGGCUUUACUUUCCCAGCUUAACACACUCCCCUCUCAGGGGCACACUGUCUGGCCUCCCAGGUCUUCUGAAAGCUAGGUGGAAGUCUUCCUGACCCCAAAACUCUUGAAUUCUGCAUGCUUAUAAAACCAGCACCAUGUGGAUGAUAUUAAGGUCUGCUGUCAGCUUGAGCAGUAACAAGGCUCUCUUAAAUGUGGCUGUACUGGCCUCUAAGUGCCUGGAUGGCUGAGCACUUUGAACUGAAUCCUUAGGAUAAUCAACGUUAUAAGUUGUUAGUCUCUGCCUAGGAGCUCACUGCCUGGGGCUCUCUUCUGAAAGAAGUCUUUUACUUUUGCAACUUCAAGCCUGCAAAGGGAGGGGUCCUACUGGUUCCUAUGAUGCCCUCAAGCCAUCUUUUCUAUUGUCCUAUUGUAAAGUACUUGGCUUCUUUUUAUUGCUAAUCUUUUUAGCCACCAAACUCUCCUUCUGGUAAAAGUGAAAACUUUUUAAAUGAAUUUUUUGUUCCUGAUUUUCAGUGUAAAUCUGGCUAAAAGGAGCAAGCAGUAUCCAUGCUACAGCCUGAAUAUUAGACUGGCUUGAAAUUUUCUCUGCCACAUUAAGUAGUCUGCCACCCUUAAUCAAUCUCCUACAAAGUCUCAGGAUAUGAGAACAAAGUUGAAAAGUUUUCUACCAGAACAUAACACAAGUGGCCUGGAAUCCAACUGCCAAUCCAUCCUUGUUUCCAACUGAAACCUCCAAGUGUCUAGAUAGACUUUACCAACUGCAAUACUUUCAGCAUUCUGUCUUCUGAGGUUUGACUAGAAUCUUCCAUCCAACUCAGUUUACAGCAUCCUAGAGCUUCUCUAGCCUACAUCUCCAAAUCUUUCCAAACUACUCCCAUGAAUCAGUUCCAAAAGCUUCUAAGCCACAUGGUAAGGCAGUGACCCCACUCCUGAUACCAAAAUCUGUCUUAGUCACCUUAUUGCUGUGUAAAAAUACCUGCCACCCAUAAUUUAAAGGAAGAUAGGUUUAUUUUGGUUCACAGUUUGCAGAGGUUUCAGUCCAUAGUCAGCUAGCUGCCUCCAUGGCAUGGAAGAGAAGAAGCUCCUCAUGGCAUGGUGAGAGGGAAGCAAAGAGCAUCAAGGGAGGAGGUGGGGAAGCCAAUGAACCCUUCCAAGCCAUUCCCCCAGUGACCCACCUCUUCUGAUCACACCCACCUUCUAACAUCAAGCCAGCUAUGCCACCCCACAAUCCAGUCACCUUCCAAAGGUUCUGCCUAUGAUCACAUGGAGUUUUAGGGGAGAUCUAUAAAGUAUAAUAGGACCAUUACUAUAACAACAACCUCCUAUGCUACCUUUGUUGCUUCAUCUUGAUGAAGCUACCCUUUUUUAUUUCCACACCAGUUGUACAAUUUAUUUCCUUUGAAUAAACUUUGUGAAAUUAUAAACCAGUGGAUCUGAAACAAUUUUUGCACCAUUAAUAAUUGAAACAUAACUUUUUAGGUAUUUUGAGGUAUUUACUAUUAACUAAAUUUAGAUUUUGGGUUCACUCUAAGUGUAGUAAACAUUGGAGUCGGUGGGAUUUUCUGUAGAUUUUACUUUAGGUGAAUAUAAAACAGUUUGCAGUCUUUAUUGUAAUGACAAUACUGCUCGAGUGCAAACCCUGAAACAAUACAGCUUUUAAACUUAAAACUUUUUGGUAAACUAUCGCUGAGUUUUUUUCUGUUGCCAAUAGGAAACUGCUUUCCAUUAAUGGAGAAUUCAUGCCUUUCAAAUAUUUUAAAUAUGAUAAUAUUUAUAAAUGUGGUUUGGAGAAAUUGUUUAAAUUCUAUUUCCUAAUUUUCUUUCUCCAGAAUAGAGUCUUUCAACAAGUAAUUUGUAGUAAUGACUGUGCUGACUUCAAUUUUGGAGUAUAGAAGUUAUGUUAAAGAUUAACUAUUUUGGCCCGGGGAUUUAGCUCAGUGGUUCUGGCGCCUGCCUUGUAAGCCCAAGUUUUCGAGUUUGAUCCCCGGUACCAAAAAAAAAAAAAAAAAAGAUUAACUGUUUGGUCGUAUUGAAGCCAACACAUAACUUGCUGCUGUACUUUCUUUCUUCAGUGAUAAAUAAAAUACUCACAGAAUUAAAAGAAAAAAAAACUUUGCAAAAAUUAUCUACUUGAUUUGCUGUUCUCUUCUUCUGGCUUAGCCUGUUUCCUCAAGAAAGUGUUAAAAUAUGUGUCCACAUGUGUAAAAUGGAACAAAAAUAGCAGUGGUUUAAAUAAGAUUGAGUUUUUUACUCUUUCUAAGCUGAUGUGGUUGCUAUGCUCUGAAUAUCUGCAGAGGCCUGACUUAUUUUUACUCUCCAUAGAGUUUUCCUUAUCUUUGGGAUGUCUUAUCACCAUGAUUGCAUUCCAGCCCCUAGAAAGUGAGGAAUGGAAAGUAUUUCAUUUGCUAAAAAUUAUUUGUAUGACUCAAUUUAGCUGCAAAAAAGAAGACAGCCUUUAUUCUAAAUAAAUAUAUAUCAAGGUCAAAUACUAUUAUUGUGGAAUAAAGGGAAAACCAAUAUUGGAGGCCAACUGGCAUUACAUUUAACUUAAGCAUAAUUUCUUCUACAGAAACUUUCCUAAAGCCUCGGUCAAGAUCAGUUCUUCCUUGUGGAAUUCCAUAACAGCAUUGCAUAUUUCUCCACAGAGCCCUUUAUUCUUGGUUGUUAUCAAUCAAUAGCACUUAUUCUUCUUAGCCCAUAGGUAGACCAGAGGAAACAUUCUUCUUAUUUACAUCAUUAUUUUCUUAGUUCCUAGAAUAAGUCUGACACACUGUAGGUAAUUGGUGCAUAUUGGUUGUAGAAUAACUGUAGGCAGGGCAAGAGCAAUUUCAUAUUGGUCCAGGAGAAAAGAAGACUGAUUGUUUUUAUAAUUUUAUUGUCUACCAUGUGUUUCUAAAUUUUAAAUGAAGAAAAUAUAAAAAACAUUGACCAAAAGUUAAUAUUUGGUUAAUUGCAAGUAAGAAGCUGUUGAAAAUAAAUGAUAUUCCGUUUCUAUUAACUGUAAUUAAAAAUAAUUCUUGGACAUAUGGUUCAAUAGAACUGAAUAUUUCAACAGCAUAGGUAACCAACCAAACAAAAACAUUGUCAAGUAAUUUUCCUUUAAACUGUAUGAAGUAGAGCUAACUUCCAAAUUGUGGAGUAAAUCUGAAUAAUCCAAAAUCCCAUGUCUUUUGGCAGCAAUUUUGUAACAGGUAUUAUUAUUCAGGGAAAUUGAAAGCAAGUUCUUAAUAUUUUAAAUCUUUCAAACGUGAUCACUAUAAAACUCAUUCAAUGGUAAAUAUUUUCACUAUUUAAAAAUGGUUUGGGAAGUAUUCUUUCUGUUUUUUUUUUCAAGGUACUCUUAUUUGAGGAACCAAGAAACUUAUAGGUCCAUGUUCAUUUCUCUCAUUUUGUUAAACUCACAAAGUAAUCACAUAGUAAUGUUGAACUAAAAAUACAUGAACUAUAGAUUUAAAAAAAUUGUCUCUACCUUAGGAAUCAAGUUAUUGCUAACCUCAUAAUAUGGGCUUGGAAGUAUUCCCUGUAGUUCAUGUUUUGGAAGACUUGAGACAGUAUUAGUGAUAUAUCUUUGAAUGUUUGGUAGAAUUUCACCAUGAAGCCAUCUGGUCCUUUGCUUUUUUGUUGGAAGGCUUUAAAAUUACUUCUUCAAUCUCCUCAUUUGUUGCCUAUUCAAGCUUUCUAUUUCUUUCCAAUUCAAUCUUAAUAGGUUGCCUUUUUCUAGAAAUUUAUCCAUUUCCUCUUGGUUACCCAGUCUGUUGGUGUGUAAUUGUUUAUAAUCAUCUCUUAUGAUCCUUUUAAUUCCUGAGGCAUCUGUUGUAAUGUCCUAACUUUUAUUUCUGAUUUUAUUUAUUUGAGUCUUCUUUCUUUUUUUUUCUUAGUCUAACUAUGGGCUUGAUAAUUUUGUUUACUUUUUCAAAGAAAUAAUUUGAUUUUAUUGACUUUUCUAUGGUUUUUCUGUUCUCUAUUUGAUUUAUAUCUGUUCUGAUCUUUAUUAGUUCCUUCCUUCUUCUAACUUUAGCUUUAGUUUGCUUUUUUUUUUAGCUCCUUAAGGAGUAAUACUAAGCUUUUGAUCUAGAUCUUUUUAAUGAAGGCAUUUAUUGCUAUGAAUGUCUGUCUUAGAAUUUCUUUAACCAUAUUUCACAGGCUUUGAUAUGUUGCAUUUUCAUUGUCAAUUAUAUCGAGAUAUUUUAAAAUUUCUCUUGUGAUUUCUUCUUUGACCCAUUAGUCAUUCUGGAGCAUAUUGUUUAAUUCACACAUAUCAAUGUCUUCAAAAAUCUUCAGUAAAAUAUAAAUGAAGUCAACAUCAUAUCAAAAAGAUCAUACAUCAUGAUCAGGUGGGAUCUAUUACUGAUCUAGAAAACUGGUUUAAAAAUAUGCAAAUAAAACAAUGUGAUAUGUCAUAUUAACAAGAUGAAAGAUAAAAACCACAUGAUCAUUGCUGAUACAGGAAAAAAUAUUUGACAAAGUACAGCAUCUUUUCUUGAUAAAAUCCUUAAUGUUUAGAUAUAGAAGGAAAUUUCCUUAAUGUAAGAAUGUACAUUUAUUGAACAAAAACCUACAACUGACAUAUAGUUAAUGGUGAAAAACUGAAAACAUUUUUACUAAGAUUUGGUUUUAGGUGAGGAUGCCAAUUUGUACCCCUUGUAUUCAGCAUAGUACUGGAGUUACUAGCAAGAACAAUUAGACAAGAAAAAGAAAAAAAGACACCUAAAUUGGAAGAUAAGAAAAAAAUUGUAGAAUUGUAAAAUUGUAGAAUACAAAAUCAGCAGAUAAAAAUCAGUAAUAAGUCUACACAUGAAAAACUAUGAAUAAACCUAAUCAAGGAGGUAAACGAUCUGUACACUGAAACUAUAAAAUGUUGGUGAAUGAGAUUGAAGAAAACGCAAAUAAAUGGAAGGAUAUCAUAUGCUCAUGGAUCAGAAGAAUUAAUACUGUUAAACUGUCCAUACCACCAAAACUAUAUACAGAUUUGAUACAGUUUCUGUCAAAAUUUUGAUAACAUCCUUCACAUAGAGAAAACAAUUCUAAAAUUUAUAUAGAACCACAAAAGAUUCUGAGUAGCCCAAACAAUUCUGAGCAAGAAAAACAAAGUCAGAGACAUUGCAUUUCCUGAAUUAAAAUUAUAUUGCAAAGCUUCAAUAGUCAAAAUAACACAGUAUGGCAUGAAAACAGACACACAGACCAAUGAUAUAGAAUAGAGAGCUGAUAUGUAUGAGAACAUACAUAGCCAACUAUUUUUAACAAGGGCAUAAAGAGACAAAGACAAAGAAGAGUAUUUUCAAUAAAUGAUGUUAAGAAAACCUGAUUUCCAUAUGCAAAAAUUAGCCACCUACACAAAAAUUAACUCAAAAUUGAUUAAAAACCCUAAUGUAAGGCUUUAAACAAUAAAAAUUCCAAAAGAGUACAUAGAGGAAAAUCUCCUAAACACUGGCUUUGACGACAAUUUUUUUUUAAUAUCAGACCAAGAGUUCAGGCUACAAAAAUUUUUACAGAGUAGGACUAUCUCAAACUAGGAAUCUCUACACAACAAAGAAAAUAAGCAAUGAAAUAAGAUGCAAACUAUGGACUGGAAAAUAUAUUAGCAAACCAUAUAUCUGUUAAGAUAUUUAUAAAGAACUCUUAUAAUUCAAUAAAAGGAAAAUAAUCCAAUUAAAAUGAGCAAUUGACUUGAACAGAUGUUUCUCUAAAGAAGACAAAAAAAUGACCAAUAUGUAUAUAAAAAUCAAAUCACUAAUCAUCAGGAAAACUCAAACUAAGAGCACUGUGCUAUCACCUCAUAAUGAUGGCUAUUAUAAAAUAUCAGUAAAUGGUGAGGGUAUGGAGAAAGGGAAUUCUAGUAUGCUAUUGUUGAAAUCCCCAUCUUGAAAAGAUAUGUACCCUCACUCCCAUGUUUAGCACUAUUCAUAGUAGCUAAGAUAAGGAAAUAAUGUAAAUUCUCAUGGAUAAAUGGCAUAUAAAUGUGAUACAUAAAUAUAUAAAUUAAUUUAUAUUUAUACCUGUACCUAUCUGUAUCUGUAUCUAUAUUGACUCUCAGUAAAGCAUUUCUCCUAUCAAUGUGAUCAUAGCUCAAUCAGUGAAGUAGAAGGCUCCUAACAGACAGCUCAGGCAAAUUUAUUGGAUUAGUUUUCUCUAGUGACCAGGACAUUUUUUUGAAAUCAAUAAUACUGUGAAUAUCAAAAAUUACCCCAUCAGAAUCUUGGCUUUGUGACUGAAGGAGUGAUUUCUAGGUAUUCUGUCUUCUUAACUUUUAAUAAUACUUUUAUAAGGAAAUGGUACCAUGGUGGAUAUACCUUAUAUUUUCUUCAUUUUUUAUACAUAAAUAUUUACAUUUAGGUAAUAAGAUCUAUUAAUAAAGAUAUAGGGAAGUGAGGGAACCUUGAAACUUGUGCAUUGUGAAAGAGGCUACUGACUAAUAGUUUCUUAAAUGAUACCAUGUCGUGCUUUCUGUUUACAUGGACGUUAAUGUCCAUGCACAUAAAGAAAAAAAGAUGGAAGUGAGUUGCCCUAAAAGUAUAUUAAUGAAGUGAAGCUCAGUAGCCAGUGUCUAAAAAAGAACAUGAGAACAUUUCUGUCUUAUUUCUGCUUCAUUAUUGAAUUAAUAUCCACUGACGAGAUCAGGUGUCACUGAUACUACAACCUAUUUUAGAGGGCAAGGUCUUGGCUCACAAAUUUAGAGAAACAUGCAUAUUGAUCCCUCAAGUGUUCCUUUUGGAAUUCGGGGAAAACUAUGAAAACCAGGAAGAUCUAAUUUUUAACUGUUAUUCAUUAAUAUAUGACAGUUAAAAGUCAGGUUUUAUAUUAUUUCAUGAACCAGCAGAGUCAAUGUCAGUAGGGAUACAGAAGAAAGUCCUUGGAGCAGUUAAGAAGUUGAUUUUCUUAAAUUACAUUGUGAGCACAUAGAAUAAUUUGUGAUGGAUAAUCAUGUAAAAAGAAACUUAAAAACCAGUAACAUAAAGCUUAGUCUUAAGUGGCGUGAGUGACAUGACUGAAUGUGAGAAAUAAAUGUGAUGAGUAUUUUUUGUUUGUCUAGAAGUAAAUUUUAUUGUGUAUAUUUGAGGUUUACAAUGUGAUGUUAUGGGAUACAUAUAAAUAGUAAGAUGAUUUUUAUAGUAAAGUACAUAAACAUCAUUAUCUUACAUCAUUAAUGUUUUGUAUGAUAAAAGCAGCUAAAAUCUGCUUGUUUAACAAAAAUCCCAAAUGCAACACAAUUUUAUUAACUUCAGUUUUUGUAUUCUACAUUAACUGCCAAACUUUUCAUCUUUUCAGAUCCUUUGUGUUAUGAAAGCCCCACGUGUGCAUUUCUCUAAAUGAAAGUCUCCUGAACUUAAACCCAUGGACAUUUUAAAGAAAAUGCAGUAAGCCAAUGCUUCCUUGGCUAAAAACGUGUCUGUGCUCUGCAAACAAUGAACAGAACCCAGGAAGGGAGAUGCAGACCGCCUGCUGAGCCAGUCCUAGUUCUCUUCCCUGGAAAUCUUGUCCUUGCACAGAACUUCUGGAAACCAAUAAAAGAAAACUAAUGUGCUACCCAGAGCAGAGAAAAUGGAAAUCUGCUGAGUUAAUAUUGUGGGUCAUAAAAGUCACUCAAAGAGAAUUCUUUCAAUAAGGUGCCUACCAUAGUGGUUAUAUAAUUCUUCCAUGAAACUUACUUUUCUCUUUCUGAAAAGAAGUUUUGUUUUUUCUCUCAAAGAAUAAUGGUACUGCUUAACAUCCCCAGAACACAAUGUGAAUGAGCUUUUAAAAUUUUAUUCUAAUUACAAGAGAAAUAUAUUCUGAGUAUAGAAGAUGAGGAACAUAGAGAAAACCCUGAAGGAAUCAAACAACCCUAUUGUGAGAUAAAACUCAGGUAACAUUUUGGGAUAUUUAACAAUGUCUAUUGCCUUGACGCCAAAAAGUCGGCAUUAUUGUCGAACAUUAUUAUUAUUAAAGUUUGGAUGUAUUUCAUUUGAAUGAUGGCUAUAAAUAAAUUUUAAGCAGAAAGCAAAAAUGACUUUUCUUUUGAUUCCAGGGCCUUCUCAUUAAACUACAUCCUCAAUCCUUUCUUGUUUUCUUAUUUUGAGUCAGAGCCUUGCUAAACUGCCAUGCUGUUUAAAUUGGACUCAAAACAUGCAAUCCUCCUGCCUUACCCUUCCAAAAUAUUGGAAUUACAGGCAUGCAUUGGAAUCACAGGCAUUUAAAUUUUAAAACAGAUACAGCAACACCUGUAAAGAACAGUUGGGCAUUAUGCUCUUGAAAUUUUUGAAAAACUAGAUGCUUAGUUAAUGCUUCCUUUACUUAAAAUAUUUUAGUCUCUGUGUUGGAAUUGCCCUCAAAACUGGUAUAUGAGCCAAAACACAAAAGCAUCUUGUCAUUUUAUAGCCUAAAUGCUUCUUUAAAACCAGUUCUUUUUCUUGUCCUUCCCUACUCCCUCUUUUACAUAUUUGAUUUGUUUUUCAGGUCAUCUUCACCUGGAGAAGCAAAGCAGAGCUAUUUUCAGAUCAGUUGUGAAGAUAGGCUCAGCUUCAGCUAUUUCUACUGAUGGGAAAUGCUAUCUUGCAUAAAUAUUCCAUAAUUAUAUGCUAGUCAUUGUAUCCAGACUGUGCAGUAUGUCUGUUCCUCUCACAUUUGCAGAAGAGCAGCUCAGCAGCUACAAAACUGACAAAUUCAAAAUGUAGUUUUUAGUAACCUAAUGAUGGAGGUAAACUUUUCACCUUCAGCUUUUUCUCCUUUGGAGGUUAGUCAUUUCAAGCACAGAAGUUGCAAGAUUUCUUUGGAAGACUGAAGAUGCAGGGAAGUGCAUCAGCAAGUGUCACUGGCUCAGUCCCAGCUGACAGUGACAGGGAAAGAUGUGAUGUGUAUGGGGUGAAUUAUAGAAUGUCCCUAAUCACGAUGUGCCCUAGUAACCAGUGGAUGUGAUGGUAAGGAACAGGUGAUGAGUUGUAAACUUCUGUCUCCUACUAAUUGUAGAGAUGAGACUGAUAGACACAGGAGACUAGAACACUCUGCAAAAAGAAGCCAUGAGCAUUUGACACUUGUGAUUAUUGCCAUGCUGAAAGUUGCCCAUUCUGGUUCUUUUCUUACAUCUUUGGUUACUUCUAAGUAAAAUUGUAUCACCCGGAUCAGUAAUACUUAUUGAUUUUCCUGAGGAAUGUUCAGUAGUGAAGCUUCUCCCUGCCACGUGCAAAGCGCUGUUACAUGGUCUCCCUGUUCUGUGGUCAGAUGGGAAUGGAGGUAGAAAGAGCUAUGAUUUUAAAUGACAGAAGACUGAAGAUGGAGACUCCCACUUUGUUACUUGCUCUCUCACCCGACAGGAAGGAAACUAUUACUUUUCUUAAGGUAAGAUCACUUCACCCACUCCUUAGUAAUUGAUGGAGAGAUUUCUUCUCUGGGAUUAGUAGCUAGACCUAAGACUAAGAAACCCUCACCUAGAAUGCAAUCACCACAUUUACCACCACACACAUUUCAGGGGCACACUCGUGGACAUGUGAUUCAUCUUAAUUCUCUGUCAUGCCACUGAGAGAACAGCAUGUUUAGAUGAGAUAGUGAAGGGUGGGGUGGGGUGAGGGCAGAAACAGUGAAUCAACAACAACCUAGAGAAUAACAUGAAUCCAGAUGGUGAGGCUCACAUAGUGUCGUUUGUACUCUGGGACUGGUUGUUCCUGUCCCAUCUGACCUCUUGGCUAACCACUUCAUGGGGGACACGUUCUUCACUGUCAGGAGUUUUCAUCCUUACCUAAGAAGAGGAAUAAGUCAGUGAAGCCCAGAGAAAUAAGGUUUCUUCUCCUGCACUCCCAAACCCAGAGUAGCGGGUUACUUGUAGGCCUGCUUGUUGUGCACCUGCCAUGGCCUCAUUAGGUGUCCAGCAUCACAGCUCUACCCAGACUCAGCACAAUAACCCAGCAACUCCCUAAAAGCCAAACUAUCAGGAGGCCUGCCUCAUUACUGUGACAGUGAGAAAGCCACACUUGAAUUUAACGAGAUGUUGGAGCCCCACAAAUAAAAUAGAACAGCAGGGCUGGGGAUUUAGCUCAGUGGUUCCGCCGCCUGUUUUGCAAGCGCAAGGACCCGAAUUUGAUCCCCGGUACCAAAAAAAAAAAAAAGUUAAAAUAGAACAGCAGCAGUUUCACAGAUUGUCAGGACUAAGUGAGACUAUGCCAGUGAAAAUUCCCUGUGACUCUGAUGUAGCAUGCUAAUUUAAAUCUCUCUCAUUCCUUCAAUAGCUUCUUCCUUGGUAAACCAUAUUUACGAAGGUAAAUAAUUUCUGUCUAUUGGUAAACCUAACCAAAAUUUAGUUUUUAAAAUUCUUAUAUGUCUAUGGUUUCUCUCUGGAACAGGUUUGCUAUUUCAUUGAAGAUAGUCUGUGAAUGUCUAUAAGGCCAACUCUAUAUCACAUACAAUAAGUGAUUGCUAUAUAGUAGUCUUUUGAUUUUCUCUGUUUACAUUUGUCAUUGCUGUUAUGAAUGGACCUGCUCUUAUAAUUUAUAGCUGCUGCGGCAUCUGGAAAAAUGAUAAUCAAUUGCAACCAGCUGUUUUCUCUCUCUUGACUACGACUCAAUCUGAUGCUGUCAUCAUUCCCAUUAGUAGCCAGUCCACAUGACACAAAGGAAAGGAUGGCAACGAAUCUCCCAACAUGACCUAAAAGCAAAGAUAGUACAAUAAAUCAAAACUUGCACUAAAACUACAAAGGAAAAGUGGCGAUUCUGAGAAAGAGGUCCAGCCUCUCACAAUUUAUUUUAAUUACCGUCAGCCUCAUCGCUAGUGUUUUAGGCCAUCAGAAGGUGUUUUCUGAAUGGAAGAACAGUGGGGCUGAGACGGCCUUGGGGAGUGAUGCUUGUGGACUAUGUUACGGUAAUGUCACUGCUGUGUGUCGGUCUGCUGCAGUCCUCUUUGGAAAUUGUGAUGCCAUUAGCCAAGAAUCUGCUAAUAAUGCAAGAAUGCUGUGUGUGGGACUCAGCUUGGUCCUGAAAUGCAGCAGAGACUUGUCAAGCAAAAGUCUAUUCCAGAAGCAGUCACAGCCGAGCUUUACAUCCAUCAUGAGGGCUGCAUCAAAGUAUAAACUCUUCACGAUAUUUUCAAGCGGAUCAAAAUACUUGGAUGAGAAAUGCUGGGAAAUUUUAGAAGGGAAAUGCUACUUGAAGAAUAUUUAAAAUGCUGUUUAUGGAAACAUUUUACAUAUUUGGGGUUAGAAGAAUUUUUUAAAAAAUAAGUUUUAUUGAAGCAUGAUAUGUAUGAAGUCAAAUGCACUCAUGUUAAGCUAUUUAAGCUCAGUGAGUUUUAACAGAUGUAUACAUCUAUACAGCUAUGAUUACAAUCAGAUAUAGACUAUUUCCUUCACUCCCCGAAGUUCCCUUUCCUCCUCACUCCUUUUCUAAUUAAUUAUCUCCCUGUUCUGUGCUCCAGGCAAAACUGGUCUGCUUUCUGUCAUUGUAAAUCAAUGUCUUUUUUAGAACAGUAUAUUUAAGUAAAAUCAAAGAAUACCUGCUCUUUUGCGUCUGACUUUUUUCAUUUAGUAUAAUGUUUUUGAGAUUCACCUGACCUCUGUAUUAUCAAAAGUUAUUGCUGGGUAGUAUUUAAUUAUAUGGAUUUAUGAUAGUUUAUUCACUUGUUGGUGGACUUAGGUUAAUUCAAGUUGUAGCUAUUAUGAAUAGACCUACUCUGAAGAAUCAUACACAAGUCUUUGUGUGGAUGUAUACUUUCAUCCUUUGUGAGUAAAUACUUGAGUGUGAAUAGCUGAGUCAUGUGAUAAAUCCACAUUUGACUUUUUAUGAAACAUUUCCAAAGUAGUUAUAAAUUUUAUUUCCCCAUCAGCAAUAUGAGAGUUCCAGUUGCUCUUCUACCUGUCACUACUUAUUCUCAGUCCUUUCAUUUUAGCUUUUGCAGUGGGAGUAUAGUAUUAUCUCAUUGUGGUUUUAUUUAUUUAUUUUUUUUGGUAGCGGGGAUCAAACUUGAGACCUUGCGCUUGCGAGGCAGGUGGUGGAACCACUGAGCUAAAUCCCCGGCCCCUCAUUGUGGUUUUAAUGCACACUUCUCUGAUUCUUACAGCUAAGCUGACUUCUUUACAUUAAUUCUAUCCUUAUGAUUUGGCUUAUUUCCCUGAUUAUUUGUCAUCGCAUAGAUUAUGAAUGUUUACUUUUGUUGGCUAGUGUAGAUAAUCUUCCAGUUCAACUUUUUAAAAUGUCUCCA